rnacentral:rRNA from 1 species
CACGUAGGGUGCGAGCGUUGUCCGGAAUUAUUGGGCGUAAAGAGCUCGUAGGUGGUUUGUCGCGUUGUUCGUGAAAUCUCACGGCUUAACUGUGAGCGUGCGGGCGAUACGGGCAGACUAGAGUACUGCAGGGGAGACUGGAAUUCCUGGUGUAGCGGUGGAAUGCGCAGAUAUCAGGAGGAACACCGGUGGCGAAGGCGGGUCUCUGGGCAGUAACUGACGCUGAGGAGCGAAAGCGUGGGGAGCGAACAGG